UGGGGAAUAUUGCACAAUGGAGGGAACUCUGAUGCAGCGACGCCGCGUGAACGAAGAAGGCUUUCGAGUCGUAAAGUUCUUUUAUAUGGGAAGAUAAUGACGGUACCAUAAGAAAAAGCCCCGGCUAACUACGUGCCAGCAGCCGCGGUAAUACGUAGGGGGCUAGCGUUGUCCGGAAUCACUGGGCGUAAAGAGCUUGUAGGCGGUUCGUCGCGUCUGGUGUGAAAGCCCAUCGCUUAACGGUGGGUUUGCGCCGGGUACGGGCGGGCUAGAGUGCAGUAGGGGAGACUGGAAUUCCCGGUGUAACGGUGGAAUGUGUAGAUAUCGGGAAGAACACCAAUGGCGAAGGCAGGUCUCUGGGCUGUUACUGACGCUGAGAAGCGAAAGCGUGGGGAGCGAACAGG
rnacentral:rRNA from 1 species